rnacentral:rRNA from 1 species
AGUGAACGCUGGCGGUAGGCCUAACACAUGCAAGUCGAACGGCAGCACGGUAAGAGCUAGCUCUUACGGGUGGCGAGUGGCGGACGGGUGAGGAAUACAUCGGAAUCUACUUUUUCGUGGGGGAUAACGUAGGGAAACUUACGCUAAUACCGCAUACGACCUACGGGUGAAAGCAGGGGAUCUUCGGACCUUGCGCGAUUGAAUGAGCCGAUGUCGGAUUAGCUAGUUGGCGGGGUAAAGGCCCACCAAGGCGACGAUCCGUAGCUGGUCUGAGAGGAUGAUCAGCCACACUGGAACUGAGACACGGUCCAGACUCCUACGGGAGGCAGCAGUGGGGAAUAUUGGACAAUGGGCGCAAGCCUGAUCCAGCCAUACCGCGUGGGUGAAGAAGGCCUUCGGGUUGUAAAGCCCUUUUGUUGGGAAAGAAAAGCAGCAGGUUAAUACCCCGCUGUUCUGACGGUACCCAAAGAAUAAGCACCGGCUAACUUCGUG